CCAUAGUCUGCCUGCCGCUGCAAAUUCAGCGGUCGGGCUUGGCCGCCCGAAUC
rfam:Pseudomonas phage PAJT2 DNA, complete genome.